CAGUGUGCCAUCAGGGUCCGGGCCCGGGGCCUGGGGCUGCCUGACCGACAGCAGCUCUGGCUGUGAGAGGGACGGGCCAGGUCUGACCGGCGACCCCGCCAUCUGUCAGCCAGGGACUGUCAGCAGCGUGAGUGAAGCAGGGGCUCCGGCAGGGCCGCCCACCCAGCACCUGCUCUCGGGGCACCCAGGUGGGCGCCGGAAGGAGACGAGAUGGCGCCUCGGCCCUUCUGCUGGCCCCGAAGGGUGAGCAGGGUUUGGGCCAGAACCCGCUGCGUGGCUGUGUCCACGGGUGGCUCUCCCGGCGCUCUAGGGAAGGAUGCUUUUGCUGUCACGGCGCUGGCUUUCGCCCGCAGAGACUGCGGGGGCGGGCGGAGGCCCUCGUCCUCCCUCACGGCGCAGCCCAGGCCUGAGCUCGCCCACCUCUGCACAGCGCGGUGGGUCCUGGACGGCCGGCCCGCGUUAACCGGGGCAGGAAACCCACGGUCUCCUCCACAGGAUGGAAGCACGAGGCCUCUGGCUGUUGGUCUGAGCCAGGCCGACAGAGCGGGGCUCCGUGGCGGGGACAUCAGAAAGCUCUGGGGCCCGGGCUGCGUCUACCACCCACAGACCGAGGCCGAAAUGUGCUGUUUUCCUGGCCCUUGGUGAAGAGAGGAAACUGGCUGAGCUAAUUCGGGAGCCAGGAAGACGGGCGGUUCGCAGGUCACUGGGGCUGAAGCCAGGCAGGAUUUUGGGGGCACUCAGAAUCCUUCUGAUGGAGCUCUGCAUUUGAAGCCUGGGUGCAGGAGUUUUCAGAAGAGGAUGGUGCUCUGCAUGACGGCUGUUUGGCUUGACAGACAGACCCCUGAGUCUCAAAGGACACUUUGAUGCCGCCCAUGGAUUUCCCCGUAUGCUGCACCGACACACGGCAUGGGAGAAAUAAAAAGAGUCCAUGCUGAAAAUGCAGAAUGAAUUCAGAUCCAUUUACCUCUCGAGACGUUAUCGUGGACAAAAAGAAAAACAAAGCUGGUGAAUUGUGGGAAGACAUCUCUGAAAAAUCACAGCAUCACUUGAGCCGGUGCUAAGUAAGUAGGGAGAAGCAUAUAGAUAUGGCCUGAAGGACGUCCUCAGUGUGAAGUGCGUAAUCAUCAGUUAAUUGGGAACCACCCAUCUGCCUCUGGAAUGACUCAGGCUUCUGGAAACAGCAGAUCAGACAGAACUCAGGAAGUGGUGUGUCCUUUACGACUGUGGAUCCCCUGAAAGCCUGGGCUGCCUUCCAAAAGCUGAGAUGCUUCCUAAGGAAAUGCAAGAAGGGACCGUCGCUGUCCCCUGAGCAGAUGCCAAGAGAGUUUCACAAGGGCGCCCCAGGGGCUGCAGCUGACCCGAGAGCUGGCCAGGUCUGUGCACAGGCUCUAGGAAAGG